rnacentral:rRNA from 1 species
AUCCUACGGGGGGCAGCAGUGGGGGAUAUUGCACAAUGGGGGGAACCCUGAUGCAGCGACGCCGCGUGGGCGAUGGAGUGCUUCGGCAUGUAAAGCCCUAUCAGCAGGGAAGAAAAUGACGGUACCUGACUAAGAAGCCCCGGCUAAAUACGUGCCAGCAGCCGCGGUAAUACGUAGGGGGCAAGCGUUAUCCGGAUUUACUGGGUGUAAAGGGAGCGUAGACGGCUGUGCAAGUCUGAAGUGAAAGCCCGUGGCUCAACCGCGGAACUGCUUUGGAAACUGUAUAGCUUGAGUACUGGAGAGGG